UUAAGCGACUAAGCGUACACGGUGGAUGCCCUGGCAGUCAGAGGCGAUGAAGGACGUGCUAAUCUGCGAUAAGCGUCGGUAAGGUGAUAUGAACCGUUAUAACCGGCGAUUUCCGAAUGGGGAAACCCAGUGUGUUUCGACACACUAUCAUUAACUGAAUCCAUAGGUUAAUGAGGCGAACCGGGGGAACUGAAACAUCUAAGUACCCCGAGGAAAAGAAAUCAACCGAGAUUCCCCCAGUAGCGGCGAGCGAACGGGGAGCAGCCCAGAGCCUGAAUCAGUGUGUGUGUUAGUGGAAGCGUCUGGAAAGGCGCGCGAUACAGGGUGACAGCCCCGUACACAAAAAUGCACAUGCUGUGAGCUCGAUGAGUAGGGCGGGACACGUGGUAUCCUGUCUGAAUAUGGGGGGACCAUCCUCCAAGGCUAAAUACUCCUGACUGACCGAUAGUGAACCAGUACCGUGAGGGAAAGGCGAAAAGAACCCCGGCGAGGGGAGUGAAAAAGAACCUGAAACCGUGUACGUACAAGCAGUGGGAGCACGCUUAGGCGUGUGACUGCGUACCUUUUGUAUAAUGGGUCAGCGACUUAUAUUCUGUAGCAAGGUUAACCGAAUAGGGGAGCCGAAGGGAAACCGAGUCUUAACUGGGCGUUAAGUUGCAGGGUAUAGACCCGAAACCCGGUGAUCUAGCCAUGGGCAGGUUGAAGGUUGGGUAACACUAACUGGAGGACCGAACCGACUAAUGUUGAAAAAUUAGCGGAUGACUUGUGGCUGGGGGUGAAAGGCCAAUCAAACCGGGAGAUAGCUGGUUCUCCCCGAAAGCUAUUUAGGUAGCGCCUCGUGAAUUCAUCUCCGGGGGUAGAGCACUGUUUCGGCAAGGGGGUCAUCCCGACUUACCAACCCGAUGCAAACUGCGAAUACCGGAGAAUGUUAUCACGGGAGACACACGGCGGGUGCUAACGUCCGUCGUGAAGAGGGAAACAACCCAGACCGCCAGCUAAGGUCCCAAAGUCAUGGUUAAGUGGGAAACGAUGUGGGAAGGCCCAGACAGCCAGGAUGUUGGCUUAGAAGCAGCCAUCAUUUAAAGAAAGCGUAAUAGCUCACUGGUCGAGUCGGCCUGCGCGGAAGAUGUAACGGGGCUAAACCAUGCACCGAAGCUGCGGCAGCGACGCUGAUGCGUUGUUGGGUAGGGGAGCGUUCUGUAAGCCUGCGAAGGUGUGCUGUGAGGCAUGCUGGAGGUAUCAGAAGUGCGAAUGCUGACAUAAGUAACGAUAAAGCGGGUGAAAAGCCCGCUCGCCGGAAGACCAAGGGUUCCUGUCCAACGUUAAUCGGGGCAGGGUGAGUCGACCCCUAAGGCGAGGCCGAAAGGCGUAGUCGAUGGGAAACAGGUUAAUAUUCCUGUACUUGGUGUUACUGCGAAGGGGGGACGGAGAAGGCUAUGUUGGCCGGGCGACGGUUGUCCCGGUUUAAGCGUGUAGGCUGGUUUUCCAGGCAAAUCCGGAAAAUCAAGGCUGAGGCGUGAUGACGAGGCACUACGGUGCUGAAGCAACAAAUGCCCUGCUUCCAGGAAAAGCCUCUAAGCAUCAGGUAACAUCAAAUCGUACCCCAAACCGACACAGGUGGUCAGGUAGAGAAUACCAAGGCGCUUGAGAGAACUCGGGUGAAGGAACUAGGCAAAAUGGUGCCGUAACUUCGGGAGAAGGCACGCUGAUAUGUAGGUGAAGUCCCUUGCGGAUGGAGCUGAAAUCAGUCGAAGAUACCAGCUGGCUGCAACUGUUUAUUAAAAACACAGCACUGUGCAAACACGAAAGUGGACGUAUACGGUGUGACGCCUGCCCGGUGCCGGAAGGUUAAUUGAUGGGGUCAGCGCAAGCGAAGCUCUUGAUCGAAGCCCCGGUAAACGGCGGCCGUAACUAUAACGGUCCUAAGGUAGCGAAAUUCCUUGUCGGGUAAGUUCCGACCUGCACGAAUGGCGUAAUGAUGGCCAGGCUGUCUCCACCCGAGACUCAGUGAAAUUGAACUCGCUGUGAAGAUGCAGUGUACCCGCGGCAAGACGGAAAGACCCCGUGAACCUUUACUAUAGCUUGACACUGAACAUUGAGCCUUGAUGUGUAGGAUAGGUGGGAGGCUUGGAAGUGUGGACGCCAGUCUGCAUGGAGCCGACCUUGAAAUACCACCCUUUAAUGUUUGAUGUUCUAACGUUGACCCGUGAUCCGGGUUGCGGACAGUGUCUGGUGGGUAGUUUGACUGGGGCGGUCUCCUCCUAAAGAGUAACGGAGGAGCACGAAGGUUGGCUAAUCCUGGUCGGACAUCAGGAGGUUAGUGCAAUGGCAUAAGCCAGCUUGACUGCGAGCGUGACGGCGCGAGCAGGUGCGAAAGCAGGUCAUAGUGAUCCGGUGGUUCUGAAUGGAAGGGCCAUCGCUCAACGGAUAAAAGGUACUCCGGGGAUAACAGGCUGAUACCGCCCAAGAGUUCAUAUCGACGGCGGUGUUUGGCACCUCGAUGUCGGCUCAUCACAUCCUGGGGCUGAAGUAGGUCCCAAGGGUAUGGCUGUUCGCCAUUUAAAGUGGUACGCGAGCUGGGUUUAGAACGUCGUGAGACAGUUCGGUCCCUAUCUGCCGUGGGCGCUGGAGAACUGAGGGGGGCUGCUCCUAGUACGAGAGGACCGGAGUGGACGCAUCACUGGUGUUCGGGUUGUCAUGCCAAUGGCACUGCCCGGUAGCUAAAUGCGGAAGAGAUAAGUGCUGAAAGCAUCUAAGCACGAAACUUGCCCCGAGAUGAGUUCUCCCUGACUCCUUGAGAGUCCUGAAGGAACGUUGAAGACGACGACGUUGAUAGGCCGGGUGUGUAAGCGCAGCGAUGCGUUGAGCUAACCGGUACUAAUGAACCGUGAGGCUUAACCUU
rnacentral:rRNA from 1 species